GCGUUAUCCGGAUUCACUGGGUUUAAAGGGUGCGUAGGUGGGUCUGUAAGUCAGUGGUGAAAUCUCCGGGCUUAACCCGGAAACUGCCAUUGAUACUAUAGAUCUUGAAUCUUCUGGAGGUCAGCGGAAUAUGUCAUGUAGCGGUGAAAUGCUUAGAUAUGACAUAGAACACCAAUUGCGAAGGCAGCUGACUACGGGGGCAUUGACACUGAGGCACGAAAGCGUG
rnacentral:rRNA from 1 species